rnacentral:rRNA from 1 species
AACGAACGCUGGCGGCAGGCUUAACACAUGUAAGUCGAGCGCCCCGCAAGGGGAGCGGCAGACGGGUGGGUAACGCGUGGGAAUCUACCCAUCUCUACGGAAUAACGCAGGGAAACGUGUGCUAAUACCGUAUACGUCCUUCGGGAGAACGAUUUAUCGGAAAGGGAUGAGCCCGCGUUGGAUUAGCUAGUGGGUGGGGUAAAGGCCUACCAAGGCGACGAUCCAUAGCUGGUCUGAGAGGAUGAUCAGCCACACUGGGACUGAGACACGGCCCAGACUCCUACGGGAGGCAGCAGUGGGGAAUAUUGGACAAUGGGCGCAAGCCUGAUCCAGCCAUGCCGCGUGAGUGAUGAAGGCCCUAGGGUUGUAAAGCUCUUUCACCGGUGAAGAUAAUGACGGUAACCGGAGAAGAAGCCCCGGCUAACUUCGUGCCAGCAGCCGCCGUAACAC